rnacentral:rRNA from 1 species
UACCAGCACCCCGAGUGGUCGGGACGAUUAUUGGGCCUAAAGCAUCCGUAGCCGGUACUGCAAGUCUUCCGUUAAAUCCACCUGCUCAACAGUUGGGCUGCGGAGGAUACUACAGCGCUAGGAGGCGGGAGAGGCAAGCGGUACUCAGUGGGUAGGGGUAAAAUCCAUUGAUCCAUUGAAGACCACCAGUGGCGAAGGCGGCUUGCCAGAACGCGCUCGACGGUGAGGGAUGAAAGCUGGGGGAGCAAACCGG